rnacentral:rRNA from 1 species
UGACAUACCUAAACGUUGCUUCGGCGGGAACAGACGGCCCCGUGAAACGGGCCGCCCCCGCCAGAGGACCCCUAACUCUGUUUCUAUAAUGUUUCUUCUGAGUAAAACAAGCAAAUAAAUUAAAACUUUCAACAACGGAUCUCUUGGCUCUGGCAUCGAUGAAGAACGCAGCGAAAUGCGAUAAGUAAUGUGAAUUGCAGAAUUCAGUGAAUCAUCGAAUCUUUGAACGCACAUUGCGCCCGCCAGUAUUCUGGCGGGCAUGCCUGUUCGAGCGUCAUUACAACCCUCAGGCCCCCGGGCCUGGCGUUGGGGAUCGGCGGAGCCCCCCGUGGGCACACGCCGUCCCCCAAAUACAGUGGCGGUCCCGCCGCAGCUUCCAUCGCGUAGUAGCUAACACCUCGCGACUGGAGAGCGGCGCGGCCACGCCGUAAAACACCCAACUCUUCUGAAGUUGACCUCGAAUCAGGUAGGAAUACCCGCUGAACUUAAGCAUAUCAA